rnacentral:rRNA from 1 species
AGCUCGACACCUACGUGAGGCAGCAGUGGGGAAUAUUGCACAAUGGGGGAAACCCUGAUGCAGCGACGCCGCGUGGAGGAAGAAGGUCUUCGGAUUGUAAACUCCUGUUGUUGGGGAAAAAGAGGAUGGUACCCAACAAGGAAGUGACGGCUAACUACGUGCCAGCAGCCGCGGUAAUCUGAGGCGGGCUGGCAAGGC